UNUGACUUGAGUGCAGAAGGGGAGAGUGGAAUUCCAUGUGUAGCGGUGAAAUGCGUAGAUAUAUGGAGGAACACCAGUGGCGAAAGCGGCUCUCUGGUCUGUCACUGACGCUGAGGCUNGAAAGCGUGGGUAGCGAACAGGAUUAGAUACCCUGGUAGUNCACGCCGUAAACGAUGAGUGCUAGGUGUUAGGCCCUUUCCGGGGCUUAGUGCCGGAGCUAACGCAAUAAGCACUCCGCCUGGGGAGUACGACCGCAAGGUUGAAACUCAAAGGAAUUGACGGGGGCCCGCACAAGCGGUGGAGCAUGUGGUUUAAUUCGAAGCAACGCGAAGAACCUUACCAGGUCUUGACAUCCCGAUGCUAUUCUUAGAGAUAGGAAGUUACUUCGGUACAUCGGAGACAGGUGGUGCAUGGUUGUCGUCAGCUCGUGUCGUGAGAUGUUGGGUUAAGUCCCGCAACGAGCGCAACCCUUAUUGUUAGUUGCCAUCAUUAAGUUGGGCACUCUAGCGAGACUGCCGGUAAUAAACCGGAGGAAGGUGGGGAUGACGUCAAAUCAUCAUGCCCCUUAUGACCUGGGCUACACACGUGCUACAAUGGUCGGUACAACGAGUUGCGAGCCGGUGACGGCAAGCUAAUCUCUGAAAGCCGAUCUCAGUUCGGAUUGGAGGCUGCAACUCGCCUCCAUGAAGUCGGAAUCGCUAGUAAUCGCGGAUCAGCACGCCGCGGUGAAUACGUUCCCGGGCCUUGUACACACCGCCCGUCACACCACGAGAGUUUGUAACACCCGAAGUCGGUGAGGUAACCUUUUAGGGGCCAGCCGCCUAAGGUGGGANGGA
rnacentral:rRNA from 1 species